rnacentral:rRNA from 1 species
UACGUAGGGUGCGAGCGUUGUCCGGAAUUACUGGGCGUAAAGAGCGCGCAGGCGGUCGGAUUAGUCGCGUGUGAAAGCCCCCGGCUCAACUGGGGAGGGUCACGCGAUACUGUUCGACUCGAAGGCAGGAGAGGGAAGUGGAAUUCCCGGUGUAGUGGUGAAAUGCGUAGAUAUCGGGAGGAACACCAGUGGCGAAGGCGACUUCCUGGCCUGUUCUUGACGCUGAGGCGCGAAAGCUAGGGUAGCAAACGGG